GUCAGUUGCUAGGAAUGUAACAGGAGAGUGAUUUGUGAUCUGUUCUUUAACAAACAGAACUGACAGACUUCAAGACAAGAAGAGUCCAGCAGUUUAGAAAGAGCAUGACUGAACGGGCAGAGUUAGAGCUGAAACAUGCCAAGGCCCACGUGAACCUCCUGAAAACAACAUUAGGACAGUUAAAGGAAUUGUAGUCAACAGCUGACAGAUAUUAAUUAGGAAAUACUCUUCAAACAAUUUCGUUUAGUAGUGAUAAAAAUUGUUCAAAAUAUAAUUAAAACACAUAGCGUUAUAAAACUGCGACGGUUUACAACGAACGUCAAACAUUUGUCCUAAAGCCAAAGAUAAAUGGACUUUUUAAAAAUGUUUUGGUGAUCCUCAUUGUCUCUCUAAUUUUACGUCAAUUGAUUUUUUAACUGCCAUUUCCUAGUGAGCCAACGAUUUUGUGGCAGCGGCUGGUUAAUAUGACGUAUUCGUAUGACGUCGACCUGACGUAAUUUCUUGCAAUAAAAGUUCCUUGACUGACUUAAGGAAGCAGUCCAAAUUAUUCUAAUGUUUUAAAGAGUAUAGUGGUGAGCGGUGUUAGGGGAAGGUCACGUUAGAGACCAUCUGGUCUCGGAACUGGAGAGUUAUGCACUUUUGUGCGGCACUUAAAGUUGAUUUAUUUCAGUAGAAUAAUACAGAAUUACAAAUUGUGUUUUAUAGA